rnacentral:misc_RNA from 1 species
UUUCCGUAGGUGAACCUGCGGAAGGAUCAUUAUCGAGUUUUGACUGGGUUGUAGCUGGCCUUCGGAGGCAUGUGGACGACCUGCCCAUCAUGUCUACUCUUUUGCAUUUACUAUGGGUAUGAGAUCGUGCAGCGUGCUCUUUUACCGUAGCCUGUGAAGCGUGUCUGUGCUUGCGUUUAUCACACACACUAUAAAGUAUCAGAAUAUGUAUUACGUCGUAACGCGUCUCUAUACAACUUUCAGCAACGGAUCUCUUGGCUCUCCCAACGUUGAAGAACC